rnacentral:rRNA from 1 species
GGUUAAGCGACUAAGCGUACACGGUGGAUGCCCUGGCAGUCAGAGGCGAUGAAGGGCGUGCUAAUCUGCGAUAAGCGCCGGUAAGGUGAUAUGAACCGUUAUAACCGGCGAUACCCGAAUGGGGAAACCCAGUGUGAUUCGUCACACUAUCAUUAACUGAAUCCAUAGGUUAAUGAGGCGAACCGGGGGAACUGAAACAUCUAAGUACCCCGAGGAAAAGAAAUCAACCGAGAUUCCCCCAGUAGCGGCGAGCGAACGGGGAGGAGCCCAGAGCCUGAAUCAGCAUGUGUGUUAGUGGAAGCGUCUGGAAAGGCGCGCGAUACAGGGUGACAGCCCCGUACACAAAAGCGCAUGUGCUGUGAGCUCGAUGAGUAGGGCGGGACACGUGGUAUCCUGUCUGAAUAUGGGGGGACCAUCCUCCAAGGCUAAAUACUCCUGACUGACCGAUAGUGAACCAGUACCGUGAGGGAAAGGCGAAAAGAACCCCGGCGAGGGGAGUGAAAAAGAACCUGAAACCGUGUACGUACAAGCAGUGGGAGCCCCACCACUAAGCCAGUGGUGAACUCCACAUACGCAUCCUUUGCUGAGGAUACGGUUAACGGAGCGAAAGCGACGUUCAACCGCAAAACAAGCAGAGGGGGCUUAGUGGUGGGGUGACUGCGUACCUUUUGUAUAAUGGGUCAGCGACUUAUAUUCUGUAGCAAGGUUAACCGAAUAGGGGAGCCGUAGGGAAACCGAGUCUUAACCGGGCGUUAAGUUGCAGGGUAUAGACCCGAAACCCGGUGAUCUAGCCAUGGGCAGGUUGAAGGUUGGGUAACACUAACUGGAGGACCGAACCGACUAAUGUUGAAAAAUUAGCGGAUGACCUGUGGCUGGGGGUGAAAGGCCAAUCAAACCGGGAGAUAGCUGGUUCUCCCCGAAAGCUAUUUAGGUAGCGCCUCGUGAAUUCAUCUCCGGGGGUAGAGCACUGUUUCGGCUAGGGGGCCAUCCCGGCUUACCAACCCGAUGCAAACUGCGAAUACCGGAGAAUGUUAUCACGGGAGACACACGGCGGGUGCUAACGUCCGUCGUGAAGAGGGAAACAACCCAGACCGCCAGCUAAGGUCCCAAAGUCAUGGUUAAGUGGGAAACGAUGUGGGAAGGCCCAGACAGCCAGGAUGUUGGCUUAGAAGCAGCCAUCAUUUAAAGAAAGCGUAAUAGCUCACUGGUCGAGUCGGCCUGCGCGGAAGAUGUAACGGGGCUAAACCAUGCACCGAAGCUGCGGCAGCGAACGUAUCACUUAAAGCGAUUCAGCGGGUUACGAUUGACGGAGCGAAGCGACGUCAAAGCGUAUACAAAGUCGAGUCGGUUUAAGGAUACGUUCGUUGGGUAGGGGAGCGUUCUGUAAGCCUGCGAAGGUGGCCUGUGAGGGUUGCUGGAGGUAUCAGAAGUGCGAAUGCUGACAUAAGUAACGAUAAAGCGGGUGAAAAGCCCGCUCGCCGGAAGACCAAGGGUUCCUGUCCAACGUUAAUCGGGGCAGGGUGAGUCGACCCCUAAGGCGAGGCCGAAAGGCGUAGUCGAUGGGAAACGGGUUAAUAUUCCCGUACUUGGUGUUACUGCGAAGGGGGGACGGAGAAGGCUAUGUUGGCCGGGCGACGGUUGUCCCGGUUUAAGCGUGUAGGUGUGUGUUCCAGGUAAAUCCGGUUCACUUUAACACUGAGGCGUGACGACGAGGCACUACGGUGCUGAAGCAACAAAUGCCCUGCUUCCAGGAAAAGCCUCUAAGCAUCAGGUAACAUCAAAUCGUACCCCAAACCGACACAGGUGGUCAGGUAGAGAAUACCAAGGCGCUUGAGAGAACUCGGGUGAAGGAACUAGGCAAAAUGGUGCCGUAACUUCGGGAGAAGGCACGCUGACACGUAGGUGAAGUGAUUUACUCAUGGAGCUGAAGUCAGUCGAAGAUACCAGCUGGCUGCAACUGUUUAUUAAAAACACAGCACUGUGCAAACACGAAAGUGGACGUAUACGGUGUGACGCCUGCCCGGUGCCGGAAGGUUAAUUGAUGGGGUCAGCGCAAGCGAAGCUCCUGAUCGAAGCCCCGGUAAACGGCGGCCGUAACUAUAACGGUCCUAAGGUAGCGAAAUUCCUUGUCGGGUAAGUUCCGACCUGCACGAAUGGCGUAAUGAUGGCCAGGCUGUCUCCACCCGAGACUCAGUGAAAUUGAACUCGCUGUGAAGAUGCAGUGUACCCGCGGCAAGACGGAAAGACCCCGUGAACCUUUACUAUAGCUUGACACUGAACAUUGAGCCUUGAUGUGUAGGAUAGGUGGGAGGCUUUGAAGUGUGGACGCCAGUCUGCAUGGAGCCGACCUUGAAAUACCACCCUUUAAUGUUUGAUGUUCUAACGUGGACCCGUAAUCCGGGUUGCGGACAGUGUCUGGUGGGUAGUUUGACUGGGGCGGUCUCCUCCUAAAGAGUAACGGAGGAGCACGAAGGUUGGCUAAUCCUGGUCGGACAUCAGGAGGUUAGUGCAAUGGCAUAAGCCAGCUUGACUGCGAGCGUGACGGCGCGAGCAGGUGCGAAAGCAGGUCAUAGUGAUCCGGUGGUUCUGAAUGGAAGGGCCAUCGCUCAACGGAUAAAAGGUACUCCGGGGAUAACAGGCUGAUACCGCCCAAGAGUUCAUAUCGACGGCGGUGUUUGGCACCUCGAUGUCGGCUCAUCACAUCCUGGGGCUGAAGUAGGUCCCAAGGGUAUGGCUGUUCGCCAUUUAAAGUGGUACGCGAGCUGGGUUUAGAACGUCGUGAGACAGUUCGGUCCCUAUCUGCCGUGGGCGCUGGAGAACUGAGGGGGGCUGCUCCUAGUACGAGAGGACCGGAGUGGACGCAUCACUGGUGUUCGGGUUGUCAUGCCAAUGGCACUGCCCGGUAGCUAAAUGCGGAAGAGAUAAGUGCUGAAAGCAUCUAAGCACGAAACUUGCCCCGAGAUGAGUUCUCCCUGAGACUUAGAGUCUCCUGAAGGAACGUUGAAGACGACGACGUUGAUAGGCCGGGUGUGUAAGCGCAGCGAUGCGUUGAGCUAACCGGUACUAAUGAACCGUGAGGCUUAACCUU